AUUUUCCACCAAUUCUUCUUCUCUUCUCCAUCGUUUUUCCUCAUGAUUCUCCAUCCUUGAAAUCUUCUCUUCAUCGUUCUCUUUCAUGAAAAAUCAUCACAAAUCAUCAAAAACUACUAUCUUCUCUUCUCGCUCAAAUCUCAAUUUUUCACAACACUAAAAAGAAAGUCACCACCAGCAACACUUCAUUCAGAUCUGUGAGAACCCUUUCUCUGGUUCUGUUAAUGGAGUUGUUAAAAUUUGAAAGAUUGAGAGAGGCUAAAGCAUUGGUUUUUCAGUAGAAACAAAAAAUCCAUCAGAAGUAUUGUUGAAAUGGGAAAACAACCCAUUUGGGUUUGAAGAAGAUGAAUAGGGGGAAGAAGAAGAACAAUCACAAUUAAGAAUAAGAUGAAUACGGUAAACGACAUAUGCUGGAUCUUGUGAAUGAAUGAUUGUUGUUGAACAAUUUUUUCAUAGAUUUGGUGAACGAUUUUUGUUCAACAAUGUUUUCAUGGAUUUGGUGAUGAAGAUGGAUUUGAAUGAAUAUUGUUGUUCAACAAACUUCUCAUUUGUAAUUUUGAACAUGAAUUUGAUGUUAGUGAAGAAUAGGGACUUGCUGUUGAGUGAACUUUACGUUGCUACUGUUAAAAUUAAAUUUUUUGUGUUAUUUCCAGAUUUGGGAAAGAGAGGAAUAGGGUGGUUACAAAUAUGAGAGGAGUAAAGAUGAACACUUUAUGUGGAGAAAAGAUAAGGAGAGAUCUAUGAAAUCAACAAAUUAAUUAGCAAAUAUGAAGG
rnacentral:lncRNA from 1 species